rnacentral:rRNA from 1 species
AUUGAACGCUGGCGGCAGGCCUAACACAUGCAAGUCGAGCGAGCGGCGGACGGGUGAGUAAUGUAUGGGGACUGCCCGAUAGAGGGGGAUAACUACUGGAAACGGUGGCUACUACCGCAUCCCGUCGGAUAACCCAUAUGGGAUUAGCUAGUAGGUCAGGUAACGGCUUACCUAGGCGACGAUCCCUAGCUGGUCUGAGAGGAUGACCAGCCACACUGGUACUGAGACACGGCCCAGACUCCUACGGAGGCAGGAGUGGGGAAUAUUGCACAAUGGGCGCAAGCCUGAUGCAGCCAUGCCGCGUGUAUGAAGAAGGCCCUAGGGUUGUAAAGUACUUUCAGUCGGGAGGCGUUACCGACAGAAGAAGCACCGGCUAACUCCGUGCCAGCAGCCGCGGUAAUAC